UUUCCCUUCUCCAGGGGAUCUUCCCAACCCAGGGAUUGAACCUGGAUCUGCUGCAUUGCAGGCAGAUUCUUUACCAUCUGAGCCACCAGGAGAGCCCAUGAACAACCUGCUUGGUCCUUAUUUGAGCUAAAAAGCUCAUCUCCACACAAACAAACUCAAGUAUGACUGUGGACCUUCCUGGGUCUUUGUUUUCUGAUCUGUAAUAAGAGAUUGAGGAUGCGGCCCUGACUUAAGCCACUGUGAUAGUUACAGAUCGUCAGCCAACACCCAGGCUUGAGUUCUUUUAUUGAUGGAAUGAAGCAUACACAACUAACCUGGAGGAAGGACUCUGGCAUGAGUGGAAUGUGAACAUUUCUCUUGCAGAAAGACUUAUGGCCAUUUUCCAGGGUAACUGGGUGUGGAAGAAAGGGAAAGACCCAAAUCUUUUAGGGAACUUUGGAUGAAGACUUCGAGCUAUUACCAAUUUUGGGGGACCCAGAGGACCACUGUAGGUCCACCAAUCAUGUGAAAAACCAUGUUUUGACCUUGGUCCCUGUCACUGGAGGUCUAGUGGGAUCCCAAAGCUAUCCUGUAUCUUCAGUUUCGGAGUGAUAGCUGGAAAAGAUCCCUACAUUGGCUCCCAGACCCAUGGAGGCCAUUAUAAUACAAAAGGCCAAUAGAAUUCAAUUAACUGUUUCAAAAUAGAGAACUCAACAGAGAUCCCACAUCUUUAGGGAGGCUGAAAGAUAAGUGCUUCUACCAAAACUCCUGCAGGAUGAUGACUCCUAUCAAAACACCAUUAGGGGACUUCCCUGGUGGUCCAAUGUUUAAGAUUCCUUGCUCCCAAUGCAGGGGGCCUGGGUUUGAUCCUUGGUCAAAGAACUAGAUCCUACAUACUGCAACUAAGACCCAGCAUAGCCACAUAAAAUUUUUAAAGGAUAAGAUAAUAAAAUUAAAUAGAAUUUUAAAACAAAACAAACAACAAAACCAUUAUUUUCCCCUGUUUGGUGCAAAAUUAGAAGAGUCUUAGAAAAUGACAUUAAUCAAGUGGCAAUUCCCAUCUUAGCUUCUGUGUUAGAAACAUGCUCCUAAUUAUAGUCCCUGGAGCUAAUAUACAUCUAAGGGUUUCACUAUUUGAAGAAAGAGAAACCACAGGAAGCACUUUGCUGGAAAGGGUAACAGUUUUCCAACUCACAGGGACACCUUAAUUCUCCAGCUCUGUAGCAGGAAGACUUUGAUUCCCUGAUCAUCCUUGUUCCACACAUCAAACAGAUCCAUUGCAUUGAUUAAGUCACAUUAAUAGUCAAAUUAAUAUAAUUUAAUAUAUUAAAUUAAAUAUACUUUAAUUAUAUACAAGAUGGUUUCCUCAUGUUAGAAACGUUUAUAAAAUUGUGUGAAUUGGGAAGAAGCUGUGAGCCUAUGGUGUGGGGAGCCAGGGGCUGGAAUGUCGUUACACCUGCAAUUGUCACCUAUUAACAUUCCUCCCCUUUAUUUUGCUGACAUCAUGUGGAUUUUCUUUGGGUAACUACCCUUCUUCCACCCCAAGUGAUCUGUUGUAGCUGUUUAUCCAGGUACCCUGCCCUCCAUUCCCAUCAAGGGAGAGGCAUAUGACUCAAGCUAAGCAAAUCCACCUCUCUCCUGGGGUUGGGACUGUGAGGAGAAGGAUACAGGGAAAGAAGGAGAUUGGACAUGGAUCAUUUGAAUGGCAGUGUCCUCAGCAGAAGGUUCAUGGGUCUUGCCACUGAGGUCCCUAGAGCUCCCCUCAUUCCUAUAUUUCCUGAGGCCUGGCCAGCUUUUCCUUUGAUUGGGUGAACUUCACCCUUUUUUAAAAUUUUUAUUUGAUUUUGGCUGUGUGAGUCUUCAUCGAGGUACACUGCUUCUUUCAGAGCAGUAAGAGUGCAUGGGCUCAGUAAUUGUGGCAAGAGGGCUUGGUUGCCCUGAAGUAUGUGGGAAUCUUAGUUCAACUAGGGAUCAAACCUGCAUCCCCUGCAUUGAAAGGCAGAUUCUUAACCACUGGACCACCACAGACGUCCACUAUGAACUUGACCAAUACCUUCCUGUUGUGGACUGAAUGGUAGUCCCAGAGAUAUGCUCACAUCCUAAUCUCUGGAACCUGAAAAUGUUACCUCAUUUGGACAAAGGGUCUUUUUCCAGAUGUGAUGAAGUUAAUGAUCUUGAGAUGAGAUUAUCUUGGAUUAUCCUAGUGGGCCCUAAAUGCCAUCACAAGUCUCCUUAUGAGCAAGAGUUUUGGGGAGGUCUGACACAUAGAGGAGAAGGCAAUGUGAUGAAAGAGGCAGAAACUGGAGUGAUGCAGCCUCAAGCCAAGGGGUGCUGGCAGCCCCCACAAGCUAGAAGAGGCCAGGAGAGGGGUUCACCCUCAAGCAUCUGGAGGGAAUAUGACCCUGCUCACACCCUGAUUUUGGAUUUCUGGCUCCCAGAACUGUGAGAGAAUAAAUUUCUGUUGUUUCAAGUUUGUAGAAAUUUGAAGCCACCAGAAACUAAUACACCUUCCAAUAAAUUAAGGGUCAUUUUAAGGAAGUCAGUUUCUCUUGCUUGCAAACAAAGAACUCUAAUUGUAACUGUUGUUCAUCAUUUCAAAUAUUUACUCUAAUGAAUUACGCUUUUUGGCUAAUAAUCAGCUGGAUUCUUGUUCCUAUCACUUACGUGCUAAGUCAAUUCAGUCCUGUUUGCAAUCCUAUGGACUGUGACCUGCCAGGCUCCUCUGUGCAUGGGGAUUCUCCAGGCAAGAAUACUGGAGUGGGUUUCCAUGCUCUUCUCUGGGGGAUCUUCCUGACCCAGGGAUUGAACCCACAUCUCUUAUGUCUCCUGCACUGGCAGGCAGGUUCUUUACCACUAGCACCACCAUCGCUUAUAAUCUGUGCCUCAUUGAAGACUAGAACCAGAGAUUGCAGAUUCUGAGUCACUCCCCGUGUCACCCUCCAUCCCUAGUCAUCCAGAAAGCACAUCAGGCAACCAGCUUCACACAGGCAGACACAGGUCCCUGGACCCAGACUCUUUAUUUGCAUCAUGGUUUUCACUGAUACACAGGAGUGGGAGUAAUUUGUUGCUUUUCUGCCAGGACCACAUGCAGCCUCAUGAUGGAUGCAGGCCAGACGAUGCUUCCCUGAGCUUUCCUCAGACCCGUUCUAGGGACUCAAGGCUGGAAGUUAUCUGGCUCCUUGCGCCUGGCACCCAGUGGACUGUACAAAUCAGUCAAUCCAUUCAACGUGGACAAAACACCUGCUCCAAACCAAGGUGGGUUCAAUCAGACAGCGUCUUCCAUCUUGGAGCUCAGUGUGGGGGAAAGACAGAGCCAUCGUCCAGCCAUGAUGGUCCUGUGAUGGCACUCCUAGCCACGGCUCAUAGAGUCUAGGAUAACACUAUGCCUCCCUGUGUCUUUGCAGGAAAGGACCCAGCCUCCAGGUGUCAUUUCUGAGGCCAGCGUGAGUGAUCCUGAGAGGUCAUGCCACGAAGAAGUUAAGCAGGGGAGGAAUCUGCUCCGUUUCAGCUGACUGCAGGGGUGUGGGAAGGGGGUGCCUGGAGCCCUGGUUUUAAUAAACCUGAGAAAUUGGAGGCCCACUGGAGGCCUGGGCCUCUAGGUCUUCAGACCUGCCCUCCUGGGAGGUCUCGCGAGAGGUCUCCAGAGAUGCCUCUGACACCCCAUCAAUGCUGCUCAGCAAGUCCUCAAACUCCCGGUGGUUGCUGUUGCGCACGGCGGCUUCCAGAGCCUUCUGGCGCCGGUAGAAGUGGGAGAACUUGUUGAAGAUGAUGGUGAUGGGGAGCGCCACCACUAGGAUGCCCCCCAGGAUGCAGCCCGAGGCCGCCAGCUUGCCAGCCACCGUCACCGGCACCACGUCCCCAUAGCCCACGGUGGUCAUGCUCACCGUGCCCCACCACCAGCAGGCCGGGAUGGUGUCAAAGCCCACUUCCUCCUCCUUCUCAGCUGUGUAGGCCACGCCAGAGAACACGGACACCCCCACAGCCAGAUACAACAGCAAGAUGCCCACCUCACGGUAGCUGUGCUGGAAGAGAAUACAGGAAGCCAGAUACCAGAAAGACCUCCUGUUGAAAUGCACACCCGGUAUCCUGAGCCUGGACACUGCAGACCUGGAAGGGCCCCUGCUCACCCGCCCCGCGGUUACACCCACCUCCCCGAAACCCCCACCCCCUACCUUGAGCGUUGCGCCCAGCGAGCGCAGGCCAGUGGAGUGGCGCGCCAACUUGAGCACGCGGAAAAUGCGCAUGAGACGGAACACCUGCACCACCUUGCCCAGAUCACCCAGCUCCUC